AUGGAGACUGGGAUGAUUUUUUCUACAACAACAAGCACCGGGAUUGUUUAAAAUUGCGGAAAACUCAGCAAUUCACUGUGAAAGUAAUUAAUCACAAACCAGGAAAAAAAAUUAUGUGUCUUUUUUUUCAGAGUCUGUCUGUGGUCUGACUCUCACCUGACGUCCUGGUGGCGGCGCUGCCGUUGCUGUGCGGUCUCUCCAGCUCUUCUCCGUCAUUUAUACUGGUGGCAGCUUUUUCCGCGUCCGAUUCCCGGCGCGCCAUCCCCGACUUCGGAUCCCGGACUGCGUCCACAGACACGUAGGUGCAGGCCAGACCCACCUCCUGCUCCAGCGCCGUGCGCGUCAGACCCGAGCCAGGUUUACCCAUAGGGGACGUAACAGGUCAUGUGACUCUGGCCUGGUUCUCACCCUGAGGCGACUGAUGAAGUUCCUGGACAGGCUCAGCUCAGACGCAGGACUGCCCAGCAGCACGGCGAAGCAGAACUGAAGUCCCAGCUUGUCCCUCACGUCCUCCAGCCGCUCUCGGGCCAGCAUGGCGAGCUGCAGCGAGGGGACGCGGACCAGCAGCAUGUGGCCGCGACCCUGGGAGCCCUCUUUACUAGGAGUGUUGAUCAGGUCCUCCACCAUGGCCAGCGUCUCUGGGGUGAUGUGGUCUCUGAGGGACGGGGAGGAGGUGAGCGCCAUCAUGGCCUCGGUGUACUGCUGGAUCAGCAGGAAGCUGCGGAUCACCAUGCUGUGCAGCAGAGUGAGGACCAUCUUCUCAAAGGCCUCAUCGCAGCGCAGGAUGGGGCUGGCCACGCCCCACUGCAGGGAGCUGCUGUAGUCCCUCAGGCCGAAGUACACCAACUCAUUAGCAGACUGCUCCCUCUGCUGGAAGGGAUCGACCACACGAAGCUGUCACUAUAAUACAUUUAUGUUCAUUUUAAAGACAAAUUAUCUUUUGUUCUGUUUUAAAAAUGUUUUUUUAUAGGACAAAGUUUGGAUGAGACUGUUGGACUCCUUCCCCUAACUUCCACUUCCUGGUCAUAUAUGGACGUAUGGUUCAGGACGACCCCGCUUCGCUUCCGACGUUUUGGGUGUCCCCAACUUGGGACGCGGUACCAGACAUGGAACAGAGAAAUACUCACCAGACUUUCCGCGGAAGGCCAGUGAAUCUCAUUGGAGACGCUGAUGCGGGACUGCCGCGUCUGCAGGGUGUAAGGGAAGCAGCUAACCUGAAGGACCAGCAGGUUCAAGGCCUCCAGGACCUCCUGGCAGUUCACCACUCGAUCAGCCAGACCCUGUAGCUCUCCGUGGCACACGGAGCCCGACAGCGCACUGAGAAGAGGCCGAGAUUGUGUCAGAGACUGCAGCAGACGCCACAUUUACCCAGAGCUCAGCUCUGUGUUCACUGUGUGGGAGUCGUUCCCAGGACGAAGCGGGAAAACAGGAAGUGAUCUGGGUUUUAUUUUUGGAACUGAAACGUCGUGGAAAUUUCUUCAGUUCUGAGCACCUGCAUGAAGAGAAAAUCUGUUGUGGCUCGGAGCGAAUCUGCCCCAAAAACAAAGAAGUUCGGCUCAGGAUGACGCGUUUGUUUUGACUCUCCUGCAGCUGUUCUCCUUUUUUAUCCUCACGAGGACAAAGCAGCUUUUUUAACCCAACGAGCACUAAUAAUAAUGUCAGAGUAAAUCACGUUUAUUGUUAAGAGUCAUCGUCACCUUGUGAGGUCAACGUGCGCGUUGUCAUGAAUCAGAACAAACAGGGUGUAGGGGUUCUGCUUGACUUUCUUCAUGAAGGCCUCCAUCCUGGCGUGGACGUCAGAGUCCAGGCGCACCACGUACUUGUCCGAUUUCUGGCUCGCCGUGGAAACGUCCUCGUUCCCUAAAUCCACGAGGACUCCUGAGGCGAAAGAAGGAAGGCGGGUGAGCGUGGGGCGACGGCGGAGCGGAAGAGCGUCAGCCGAGCGCUACCUGAUUGUCGGAUUCGCUGUGCGGUUUGGUGGACCAGGAUGUGAGACGGCGGCACCAAAACCAGGAAGUCCACCUUAGAGAAACGCCCCAGGUCCAGGUUCUGGGAGCCAGAAUCAGCGAUGGAGCAGACCUGGGAGAGGAGACUUCGAGCCACGCUCAGCUGGGCCGGAUAGAUCUGGAAGAUCUUCUGUAGAGGUUCUACUGCAGAACCGGAGGAACGGACGUUAGCUUUCAUUCAGGACAAAACGAUUGAAACCAAAGCUUGAGGAGAUAUGUAAAAACAAAAACUGCAGAUGCAAUAAAACUUUCCUCAUUUAUUUUAAACAGAUAAACCUGUUGGUCACUUAAAUAAAAUGAGUAAAAUAUUA